rnacentral:rRNA from 1 species
GAUGAACGCUGGCGGCGUGCCUAAUACAUGCAAGUCGAGCGAACGGACGAGAAGCUCGCUUCUCUGAUGUUAGCGGCGGACGGGUGAGUAACACGUGGAUAACCUACCUAUAAGACUGGGAUAACUUCGGGAAACCGGAGCUAAUACCGGAUAAUAUUUUGAACCGCAUGGUUCAAAAGUGAACGACGGUCUUGCUGUCACUUAUAGAUGGAUCCGCGCUGCAUUAGCUAGUUGGCAAGGUAACGGCUUACCAAGGCAACGAUGCAUAGCCGACCUGAGAGGGUGAUCGGCCACACUGGAACUGAGACACGGUCCAGACUCCUACGGGAGGCAGCAGUAGGGAAUCUUCCGCAAUGGGCGAAAGCCUGACGGAGCAACGCCGCGUGAGUGAUGAAGGUCUUCGGAUCGUAAAACUCUGUUAUUAGGGAAGAACAUAUGUGUAAGUAACUGUGCACAUCUUGACGGUACCUAAUCAGAAAGCCACGGCUAACUACGUG